rnacentral:rRNA from 1 species
AUUGAACGCUGGCGGCAGGCCUAACACAUGCAAGUCGAACGAGUGGCGGACGGGUGAGUAAUGUCUGGGAAACUGCCUGAUGGAGGGGGAUAACUACUGGAAACGGUAGCUAAUACCGCAUACCAUCGGAUGUGCCCAGAUGGGAUUAGCUAGUAGGUGGGGUAAAGGCUCACCUAGGCGACGAUCCCUAGCUGGUAUGAGCGGAUGAACAGCACCACUGGAAAUGAGACACGGUCCAGACUCCUACGGGAGGCAGCAGUGGGGAAUAUUGCACAAUGGGCGCAAGCCUGAUGCAGCCAUGCCGCGUGUAUGAAGAGGGCCUUCGGGUUGUAAAGUACUUUCAGCGGGGAGGCGUUACCAACAGAAUAAGCACCGGCUAACUUCGUGCCAGCCGCCGCGGUAAUUC